AUAACAAAACCAGGCAAGGACAACACAAGGAAGGAAUAUUACGAGCCAAUAUUGCUGAUGAACAUAGAUG